GAUAGAGGUCGCGGAGAUUAAGAGUAACGGUCAAAUACGCGUGGGGAGCGCGGCCGUGAAAGGAUGAUCCGCCGAAGCUUUCCGGAAUCCCAAACCGGCAUGCUGGGACGGUGCAAUAAGAUGCAUCGGACUGUCACGAAAGUGGAGCGCUAUCAU
rnacentral:ncRNA from 1 species